rnacentral:rRNA from 1 species
UACGAAGGGGGCUAGCGUUGCUCGGAAUCACUGGGCGUAAAGCGCACGUAGGCGGACUCUUAAGUCGGUGGUGAAAUCCUGGAGCUCAACUCCAGAACUGCCUUCGAUACUGGGAGUCUCGAGUUCGGGGAGGUGAGUGGAACUGCGAGUGUAGAGGUGAAAUUCGUAGAUAUUCGCAAGAACACCAGUGGCGAAGGCGGCUCACUGGCCCGAUACUGACGCUGAGGUGGCGAAAGCGUGGGGAGCAAACAGG